UGCCCAUCCUUACGGGCAGUCCCUGGGGACCGCUGAGAUGUUUCCAAGAACAAAGUCGUGACCUUUAAUUUAAUUUAUUAAACAAGUACUGGUGGUGUGUCUACCACAUGCCAGCACGAGGCUCAGUUCUGGGGAUAUGGAGAUUCGUAAGACACAGUCUCGCCAUCUUGCACCGGGUCUGGAGGGGACACAGACAUUGGGAAGGACACUUGGACUUGAAAGACACCAACUCCCUGGAGCUCCUGAAUCUACCUGUGACAUCUGCAGUGCUCCUGGGCAGGUGGCCUACCAUGCCCAGAGCCUGGAAACAAGGUCAGGAACGUGAGCAUCACCGGGAGACAAGAUCUGUUAUAUGAGGUGAAGGGGAAGGAGGUGAUCUAUCUGAUGGACCAAGCUGGGAUCACCUGCCACUCAAGAAUCUGGAAGUGAACUUAGCUUCGCAGAGACCAUGUGGUCUGUGAUGAAUGAAGAAAAGAUGAGUCUUCAUAUAAAGAAUCACUAUGCAAUCAAAUGGAAGCAACUUAAUUGGCCGGUUAUUUUGGUGUCAUCUAAGAACAUCAUGCCCUCUUUCAUGACAUAAUUUGAGCUUGAUAAUUUCACCAUUCAAAGAGCUGUGUUCCGGACUUACAAUUUUAUUUUAUUUUUUGGUCAGGGGUAAUUGGGCCAAAAUUGAAAUUUAAUAAAAGUGACAGCAAUAAAAGCCACAAUGUUAAAAUGGCAUUGUGCAAGAGUACAAGGAGGAUGAGAAAGCAUUUCUGGGAAAUACUCAAAUGGAUAUUAGAAAAUGGCCGACUAUUUUUUUAAAACGAGAGAAUGAACACCAUCUUCUACAAGUAAGACUGUAGAUAAUAUAAACUGCUGCUUGCUUCCUUUUCCCCAGUUGGCCUGGGAGAAUCCAUGUGCUCGUCUAAUAUGUACUUGUUCAAGUAGGUUCAGAAUCACUAACAAGCCUCUAUUGAAUAUCCACUAUGUAAAACACACGUGUUAGACCAGAAUAUUACACAGUAGCAGAAGGAUUUCUGCUCUUGAAAGGCUUAAAAGA